GAAGUAAAAUUGUUGCACAUAUAUUGGAACCCCGGACUCGAUUCGAGGUGAAUGAAACAUCACUGGUAAAAAAGCGUCAGCUUAUCUUGUGAGUCAACAGGCCGCAUUGGUGAAAACGAGACCGGGUGUUCGAUUUGUUGUCUGUAAACAGAAGGGUAUGGCUUUAAUUCCAAAUGGACGCUUGCUUAUCGAAUCUUUAUAAUCUGAAAGAAAGAGUAGCUGGCAGCCUAGCACAAGUCUUACUUUUAGACAUAUUUUAUAUUUAUCUACGUACUUAACUUAAUUUGUGACCCAUAUUGUAAUUUUAGCAUUCUUUACUGUAAAAAUGGAUGACUGUAAUCUUUUCACUAUUCUACAAUUAUGCGAUAGCGCAUUUCCUACUGGUGGUUUUUCUCAUAGUAUGGGGACUGAAGCAGCCAUUCAAAAUUUAUACAUAAAUGACUUUGAAAGUUUGAAGAUGUUUAUUCUAAGUUGUCUUGCAAAUUCAGGAUCUUCCUGUAUUCCAUUUGUCAGAUCUGCUUCUGAAAAUGCAAAUAAUUUAGAAAAACUAAUAAAUCUAGAUUCCUUGCAUAAUGCUACACUUUUAAAUCAUGUUUCUCAUAGGGCCAGCAAACAACAGGGAAAAUCCUUUCUUGCCACUUCCUCCGAAGUUUUUCUGCUAUCAGAAAUAGAACAACUCAAAGAGCUUGCUGAUAAUGGUAAAAUUCACUGCCACCUUCCUAUUGUUUUUGGAGUUGUUUGCUCAGCAUUGAAAAUUCCUACUAGAAAGACUGGAGAAAUGUACCUAUUCAACUGCUUAAGAACCAUACUUGCUAGUACUGUUCGACUAGGAAAAAUCGGUUCUAUUCAGGCACAACGUUUGCAGUUUGAAUUGCAGAAUACUUUGGACGAUAUACUUGCAACUUCAACUUUUUCAGCUGUGUACUGUAGCGAUCGUUCUAAUUGUCUCGGAGAAAGCGCGCCAAAGUUUGAUGUGCGUUUCAUCUCCAUUAAUCAUAAAAUGGCAUUGAACUGUGACCUCCGAAAAACAAGGCCUGCUGGCUCUACAACUCGCUUCUGCAUGAGUCAUCACUGCUAGUCGAUCGAGAAACCGGUUAACAAUCGUCACUCUGCACGUUUUCUGCGCGAAGUAAACGACGGCUGGCGUUUAUAAGCCUUCUUCUUUUCUUUCUUUUUCUAUUUAUUUCUUGAUCCAAGAUAGUGUUAUAUCGAAAUGGAUGAGAUGCAGAAGCAAGUUUAGGAUACAAAUUAUUGAAGGUAUGUGAAAGACAUUUUAAAGAUGGCAAAGUGCUUUACAGAACUACUUUCUACAAUGAAAGUACUGGGGAAACAUUAUCAGCUCCUCUGAAGAAGCCCAGGGUGAAAGAAAAUGCUUUGCCAAGUGUUUUUCCUGUCUGCCCUACAUAUUUAUCAUCAUCAACAUCCUCAAUUCGAGAGAGUCCUUCAAAAAAGAGGCAACGAUUAGAACAAGUCCAAAUUGAACACUCCAUCAUUGAAAGCUUAAUUUCCAAACAGAACUAUGACAGCAAGACUGCAUGUACUAAUUUUAGUGAAUUAAAAAAAUGUAUUAAAGACCAUACCUUUUAUUUCUUUUGGACUAUUAUUGAAAAGAGUGUAAAUAUGUUAUUGAUCCAUUAUAUUCAUCCAUUCAUUAUAUCUGUUAAUGAUGGCAUUCCUACCAUAACAUAUGCUGUAAGUAUUAACAAUGAUCUAUUUUUAAAUGCAUCAUUUAUGGGAGAAAGGAUUUUGAAACACUGGCAAUUCCCAUUACCAAUUAAAGUUAAUAAUAUAAAUCAAAUAUUUGAUAUUCUUGAUUAUUAUGAAAAGGAUCCCUGCGAUAUAUUAUCAAGUUCAUUGAAUGUCAAAAUUAAUAUUGUUACGAAAUUUCCGGGUUCGUUUGGAUAGUGAAAGUUAUAUGGUGUGGAGAAUGCUCAAUCAGCAGGCGGCAGUAGAAAAAGAAACAACGACGUUUAUUUACACGAAGACACACAGGACAGCACAAAGACGACAACUAUAUACAGCAUAGAAGACGAUUAUCUUCAGCCGAGACGUGCAGCAUACAACAAGACUCUACUGCAGACAGUAGCAUACAGCUUAGUUCAGCACUAGCUUGACUCCGUCGCUGCUCUGCUAAUCUCUGGAAGACUCGUUCUUCCCUUCGAUUCCGACUACUCUACUCUGUCGCUUCCGACUACUCUGCUCUGGCAGCUGCGGCUGUCUCCUUUUAUAGGUCUCAGGAGGCGGGGCUAGAAGUCUCUCAACCAAUCAGGAACGUUCGAGGCGUAUCUCGGUUCCUAAUGAACGGACCGGGAAAAUUCUCGAUGUUUCGGGUAUAAUCUAUUUUGACGCCAAAGUCGUCGCCAAGUUUGGCGCCAAGCUCAUGGACCUCCGACGCAACACCCGGACUCCGUCUAAUACAGAUGACUGUAAAACUGUCUUUCUGAUGAUGGAACCAACUAUGCUGUGAAGCCGCAUCACAGAUUCGUAACAAUAUUAUUGAAUCUAUCAUCAAAAAUUCAGAAGAUGUAUUUACUGGCAAAUGUAAAUUUUUCUUUGAAUUUUUUCUUGAGCAAUUCAUUUGCUGAAGUGUAAACCUGAACACCUUUUAUAUAUAGUACCUUUAAUGAACCUUUUUUAUA